rnacentral:misc_RNA from 1 species
ACUGGGGUAAUGUUUUUCUUGCUUCUUUUUUUUUUUUCAUAAAAAUGCUAUUACUUAUGAUUUUUAAAUGGUAUAUGAACCUGAAUGUCUCACGAGAAGAUUUGAAUUAAUUUGUCGGUGGGUUUCAUGAGUUUCUGUGUUCAGUGAAUAUUGGGAAGGGUUUUCACUUAAUGAAUAUUACCCAAUUAGUGGAGUAUUCUUUGCUAAUUUUGAAAAGAUGAUGCUAAGCUAACUUGUGACUAGUGCUGAUAAAUCGUGCAUGUACUAGUUAUCAACUCAUUGUUUUGUUGCAUUGUAUUCUGGACACAACAUAUUUAGCUUUCAUAGUUUGAAAAAAUAUCUGAGUGGGACUGAUCGCAUAGGGCAUCUUAUCAUGCAGAUUGUCUCUCAAAUAUAAUUACUUAUUAGAGCUAUCCAGUUAUUCCUAAUGCUGUAUGAGAUUUACUGGAUGGAUGGUCCACAUAUUUAAUUCAUUUUCUCAAAAAUUUUUCAUAUGUGCAAUGAUUUUGUUAUUUGUAGUGUUCAUUAUUGGGGACUCUUACAAGAUGGAAUUUGGGAAUUGGUUGUGCAGAGUUCACGUUCUGUGACAAAAUU